UUAAAAUAAAUAAAGCAUUUAGCAUUUAGAUUACUAUGUGAUGGGUCAACUUAGAGUUUUAUAUUCGCUGUGUUCUGAUUAUUCAUUAAGAUAGAAUGGCUGUGACAAUUAGUUUGUUCACCCCAUACAAUUGUACUACUGUUCUUAAGGCCCUUACAUGGUGGAUCAGGCAGUAAAGACAAGCAGUAUCUGUUGCUUCCAUAACAUUUCCAUGUAGCCAACUUUGCUAAUUGCAUGAAACAAAUUUACAUGGUUAGGCUAUUUCUCAUAAAUGCUCAACGUAUACUUGUCCCUCAGCUGUCCUCUUACACUGAUAGUGUCUUACUCUAAAGAUUCUAAAAUAUCCCCAAACAAUCUGCUUAAUAACUACAAGGAGGUUGUUGAAACUUACAGACAACUUCUAGGUUUACACCAGCAGCUGAAUACAUUUAUUGCAUGUCCAGCUUAAGGAAGCAUUUAUAAAUUGAAAUCUUUAAUGAGUUUCCUAACUUAGGCGGGAGAAGAAGAUGCAAUCAAGAUGUAUUUUUCCUGUGAAAAGUAGGAGAUAGUUGAACAGUAUUAGAAGUUGAACAGCUGGUCACUGUUUAUGAAAACAGCUAGGCUCUUAUCCAUAAGACAGGAAAGAGAGUCAAAAGCCAAAGUCUCCUUUUAAGAUACAGCUGGAAAGUUUUCAGAGUUCAAGGAAAAUUUUAAACCUAGGGUAGAUAUGCCUUUUUUUCCCUCUUGUAGUAAUAGUAAAAAGAAGAGUAAACCAAAAAAUCUCAAGAGUAAAAAUACCUUUAUCAAUUCAACAAUUGAUAUUCUACCAAACACAUAUAUUACUUUUGGGAAAAAAAAUUGCAAACUUUUACCGCAAGUAAGAACAGGUCAGUGAUGCAGACACUUUAUAAAAAUAAGAGGAAAAUGCAUUAAAUGUAAAGUGGAUAAAAAAGUAUAAAACAAGAAAUAUAGCUAAGCAUGACUUUCAAUUUCUCUUAUGGUCUCCUUAAUGACUGAAAAUAAAUUAGAAACUUUAGCAGGAAGUACUUUUUUCAAGGUAGAAUGAACAGCUUUCUAGAUCAGCUAUCUGUUAUCUAGUAGAUUCACUGAGUUUUAUGGCCAAAGGGACUUAGAAAAGGAGCUCUGGAUAGAAAAAUUAGGAGGAAGUAGAUUGAAUGAUUUAUUUCUAUAUUAUUUUAUUGAUAAGUUUAAUCGUGAUUCUUUCUGUGGCAAACAUUUGUCCACUGUCAGAGAAGGAUUAACCUAUGUAAAACAGUUGAAAUCAGAUUUAGAGGCCAUUUUGAGUAAGUAAGAAAAAAAAAUAAGGAAUUAAAUACAACAUCAUCCUACAAAUAAACUUCACUCCACUAGGCAGUUGUAUUCUGGAAGUAUCAUAUUACUGUAUUUUAACAGGUGACGUGAGACUUGCAAAAAAAUACCUGGUCCCCCAACAGAUAAAUAUGAAUUUGUUCAGAGCUAUGUCCAUACAUAAUAACUGGAAGUGCUCCAUUGGAUUCUUUUAUUUUUCUUUAGGUUGCUACUAAGUUCUGAUAAAACAAUUGAUUAUUAUUUUGGACAAGGGAAUUUAAAUUAUGCAUGGAAACAUAAAUAUAUGUAAGUUUUACAGAGAAGAUAAUACUAUGAAUUUAGUGCGUUUGAAUUCAAAAGAAAAGAUAUCAAAUUAAAACGCAGCAUGAGUUAAACCAUGGUUUUAAAAGCUUGCACACACAUCUAGGUUUUCAAAUAAAUCAGAUUAAAUUAGCUGUUAUUUUAUUCUCUUCUUUAGCUGCUUUUGAAAUAUGUGGCAGGAUUCGUCAUUUGACUUAAAAAAUGAAUGUAGUUGCUUAUUUCCUUUUCAGCUUUUUUUCAUUACUGUAAAAACAAAGUUUUAGCAGUCCAUGUCUGCUCUCAUUUCAUCAAGAACCAGUAAAAAUUAAAUUUAAAAAACACUUUGAGAGCUUGCCCUAAAGUUAGCAGCAAUAAAGCAUAUGCUGGUCUGCAUAUAGUUUUAGUUUUCAUUCCCUUCAAACUUUUGUACUCUUCUCAAAGCUUUGACUGCUAUUUUCUUUCCAUGAUUAGAUUGUUAUGGCCACACCAUCUACCUGAAGAGAAUUAUGAUACUGGUUUGGAACAAAACUCUCCUUUUUUUGGAAAGUGCAGUUUUGACUUACAGUCUUCUUUGUCUGAUGAUCAGAAUUUAUGGAGGCCUGAAGUUCCUGGCUCUCUCCGACAUAACUUGCAUUAUUUGAUCUAACCACAGUACCCCAAAGCUGAAAAAAAAUCAGUCAGGUAGAAUUCACGUGUAUUUUUUCCUUCAAUGAAAUUCAUUGUAGAGUAGCAUAUGUUUAAGGGAAUGUGUGAGUUUUAUUGCAGGUCAGAAAGGCUACACUACUAAUCCGUGAUUCACAAAGAAAACAGAGCACAGAAAGACCAGUGCAAGACUGCUGGGUUGGAGGUUGGAAGGUUCUAGUAUGUAAACCAUAUUCCAGUCUGAUAUGUGUGCAACAAUAGGGUAAUGAAAAUGAAAAUACUCCAUGUGGCUAAAAGACAGUCUUCUUUUUAGAGACCUUAGUGUUUUAUUUAGAGGUUAUUGGUCAGAUUCAAGCAAGGCCAGAAUGAUUCUAAGUAAAGGUGCUUUGUGAAGUGCAUAAACCAUUUGUGAACUCAAGGGGAAUAUUAAAUAAAUUUCAUUUGCCAAGAAGUUAAUCAGUCAACCACAGAUCCUUAUGCAAUGCAAUUUAUUGAACACCUGCCAUAUUAGAAGAGCUAUAGCCAGCCAGGUGGUAAACGGAAAUGGCAACACUGCCCUCAAGGUGCUUAUAAUCAGAAAAAAGUAAAAAGGAUGGAAACUAAAAUUUACAAAGGCCUCCAAUUUUACAGUAUUUUACAUGCACUUACAAAGGAUGCUUGAAGCAUAAGUUACAUGCAACACAGUCACCACCAACCAAAAAACAGAUACAUAAAUAUAUACAUGAUCAGUCAUAGGCAUUUGUGUGUGCACAUGAGCGAGUGUGUGAACAUGGAGAAGUGAGGCACUUGCCUUUAGUUGGACUAGUUUUAGAAAGUAGUUGAACUUGAAACAAAUUUCUGAAGAAUUGGUAGGAAACAAGGAAGACACUUUGUAAUUAGAAGACAGAAUUCUGAAUGAUGUGUUUGGAAAAUAAGUGCUCUGUCAAAUUGUAGUAAUCAAGUAAUUAACUGUUGGCUUCCCAAUUCAAAGUAUCAACUUGAUUUUAAAAUAAUUGGGAAUAGUUAGAAGGAUUUGAGCAGGGAAGUGAUGCAAAUAAUUUGCUUGAGGAAGUCUCUUCUGUCUUAUUUGUAGGACAAAUGAGUUAAAAGAAGCAGGCCAGUCUCACAGCUUGAAGUUUUCCAUAUGAAUGCAAAAAUCAGUUUGUCUGAUGAUAACAUUUACUUACUGCUUCACUGACAUAAGAACCAGCCCUCGAGAAGAAUAUACAGAGGAGUAGUUGCCAGCAACCUUCCUGCCAACUUGGCCCAAGGUAGGUUACUUUAGGUACACUAGAAAACCAAUUUCUCUGCAGUUUUUCAUCCUUAUCAAACUCACCUAAAGUCUAAAGAAAAACUCUUUCUGAUUAUAGAUAUUUGUUUCAAUCAGUUUUAUAGGAACGGCAGUCUCUGCUCAUCUCUCCUUCCUGAAAUUCUAGAACUCUUUAAACACAAUUGCCACAAAAUUGCCAUGGAAGGAAACCUUUCAUCACUUUUUAAAUUAUUGUCUCCAUUUUUCAAUUCUUUGGAUGUUAAAAAUUGGGAUAUAAUUUGCAUACCAUGAUAUUCACUGUUUUAAAGUGUACAUGUCAGUGGUUUUUAGCUUUUAUUCACAGAGUUGUGCAACCAUUAUCAUUAUCUCAUUCCAGAACAUGUUCGUCACCCAGAAAAGAAACCCCAUACCCGUUAGCCAUCACUUCCCAUUCUUCCCUCUUUCUAGCUCCUGGCAACUCCUAAUCUAUUUUCUGUCUUUAUGGAUAUGCCUAUUCUGGACAUUUCAUAUAAUUGGAAAUAAAAUGUGUGGCCA